AGGAACACAAGUUAUUUAACACUAUCACAAUUGAAUAUAGCCUCACACAGGGUACAAACCAAAGACAACAUAACAGGAUAUGCAGCGAGCAUGCAGCACGAGAACUGGUCCAAAACAGGGCCUUUUUAAAGAGCCCAGCCAGCUGCAACCACUGACGAGGGGGGUGGAGCUCCGGGUCCCAAUCCUACCUGGAAAACACACACACACACACGCAACAAGUAAUCCCCCAAUCGGAAUCAUUAUACGAACCCAUAUUUCUGGGGACGUAACAACGUUCAACGUGUCUUUACAUUGUAAUCCGAGCGGCCUGAUGCUCACACCAGCACUGUCUGCCAGAAAAAUGUAAUCACGCCACAAUUUUACUGUUUCUCAUACUCACUAAAACAUUGCUGCUUUUUGCAGAUGAUGUGGUCCUGAUGGCAUCUUCAGCCUGUGACCUCCACCUCACUGGAGCGGAUCCCAGCCGACCGUGAAGCGGUCGGGAGGAGGAUUAGCACCUCUGGAUCGCCCACUCCGGAAUGGAAAAAGCGGGGCAGUGUUGCAAUCGCUUUACAACAUCGUCGUGACAAAAAGAAAGCUCAACUGGAAGGUAAGCUCUCGAUCUACCGGUCAUUCUUCGUUCCUACCCUCAUCUCUGGUCAUGAAGGAUUGUAUUGCAUUAUGGGUUAUGAUUGACAAAUCAAGGCAUAAAAAUAUUGCGAGCACUAGAGAUGUUUUUAUAGUAGGCUAUUGCAGACCGAGAGCAGAUUAGUAGACGGAUAUUUUAAAACCUUUGUGUGUUGGUAUCUACAAAUAACCAAAGAAAUAAAAUGUCUAAGCAAUGCAGUACAAGUAUUUCUAAGACCCAGCAUGUCCCCACAUGCUUGACCCUCGGCAGAGCAGCAUUACUGGUUACUGGCUGCUUAAUUUUCCUCCGAGGGAUUAUUUGCACUUUCUUUGAGACCCAAACAAAUGCUGGAAUGCCCCAAGAUAGUGUGUCUCUUAGAGGGUAAAUAAAUACAUUGGGUAAAAUCUUGACAGGUUAUUACAUCAUGUGGGUUAAGAAGGAGGAAUCUUCCCUAAUCCAUUAUUCAAAGUUUGUUUUGGACUUCAAAUUAACUGCUUUGAAAAGAAAGUAAUUGCUUACAAGAGGCAAAGCAGGGUGUUUUCCGACCAAAGCAACUUAAGAAUACAUCUUGGAUUUUACAUGUAGUCAUUUUGUGCAAUACUUCUGCUUGUAGUUUUCCUGCAGUGCUGUUAUUUUUGCAAUUUGUCUUUUCAUGUAACCAAUGAAUCACAUUUUCAGAAGGUGUCGUCUAAAGCAAAAUAUCAUGGUAUUUUUGAAAACAAGAGAAAUAAUGAAAAAACUGAUAUCAGCAUGAAAAAUGUAUCCGUAAAAAGUACAGAUUAUGGAAACCAGCAGAGGCAGAAUGCCACGUGGCAGGACUCAAAUGCACACCCUGCACAAAUACACAAAUGGCUUAAAUACACUGGGAAGGUGCAGGUGAUUGGACACAGGUGGAAACAAUCAUGGACACGACAGACAAUCACAGGGUACACCAGGACAAGGCAGGAAGUGAAGCUGACUCAGGGACACAAGCGGCAUGAAACUACAAAAUAAAACAGGAAAUAAACCCAAACUGUGGCAUAGAAGUUUUCACUGCCAAAACGACCUUCACUUAUAAUAUGAUAACUAGUUAACUGGUGAGACAAUUUGCUAAAAUCACCCAUCCUGUGUUUGUAGAAAACUCUCAACGUUUGACAAAGCACAAAGUAAUGUUUGUCUUCAACUAUCAGUGACUAUACCAAUGCCGAAUGCUGAAGUGAUUAUUUUCAUUGCUGUGAAAUGAAUGAAAUCAGAAUAAAUUGUGACGCGUCACGGUUUGGUGUUAUUUAUUUUGUAUUAUCCUUACUCUUGUGCUCCUGGGUUAACUUCACUUCCUCCCCUGGUGUUUCCCCCACAGCCCCUUGUGAUUGCCUGUCUUGGCCCUAAUUAUUCCUUGUGUCUCUAAUCACCUGCACCGUCGCAGUGUAUUUUGUCUUAUUGUCGCUUUCUCUGCUAUCUCGCAUGUUUUCUGUUCCUUUGUGUAAUUGUUCUCUAGUAUUUCUUGACUUUUUCCCUGUGACCCUCACAAAGGUGCACACACGUUUUUACGGGCCUUGUGCUUGCUACUUGCUUCCAGGCAACUUAUUCUUUUGAUUAAAAGUUUUUGUGCUUGAAAGGAUGGUUCUGCGUGUGAUUCCUACUUCCGCCACCCAAACCUCACAUGAUGAAACCUAAAGUAACUGCCUGCUCCCCUGAGUCCAAAUCUGUGAAAGGCAAAAUACUGUGAGGUUAUUGAAUUUUUAUUUCUUAGGUGCAGCCAUACAGUAUAAUGCCCAUAACUUGAUUGCAAUUGUAUUUGUUAACAUUCUACAUUGCAGCUGGUCAACCUCCCGUCGGUAGGCCGAUGAUCAUUGUGCCGUCUGUAAAUUUCAGGAGUUUUACAGCUGGGGGGCUGGAUUAUCGAGCUCGGCGAGUUUGAUACUGAGAUACAGCAGCUAAACCUGUUUAUUCAUGUUUUGGUUUGUUUUUGUGUCAGACCCACGGAGUACCACGGAGUGCACGUAACCUGCUUUUGAGUUGGACUGUGAGUAUGGUGUAGGGCCUCGGGUUUCCACACCAGACCCUGCUUGAGCCACGCCAGACGUCGGUGGAGUUUCCCUCCCGACUCCAGUUGAGCCAGAGGAGCGCUUUCUGUUUCCCGUAUUCCCCUUGUUUGUUUUUUGUGAAAAAUAAAGUCAUUUUGGCUGAAAAUCCAAGGCUGCUGUGCGUGUGCUUUUGGGUCCACCAAAUACACCCCACCCCCUAACAAUUGUGUUCCCAUCCUUGUGUUUUAAUUGUCUGUGGGUUUUUUUGUAUCUGCCUGUUGGGUAUAUUUAAAUACCAAAUCCUGUGUUUUUAGAUUUUAGGAUACUCUUGUGUCUGAUUACUUAAAUAUCUUUUCAGAUGUUAUACACAAUAUACAGCUUUUGGAUAAUUGUUGAAAAAACGUGUCCUUGACUAUUCUUCUCUCCGUAAAUAAUUGGCACUUGCCUGCUGACUGACAAUCUAUUUUUUAACAAAAGCAAAAUAGGAAAAUAUCUUCCAAAACACUAGUGAAGUGACAUUGCUGAAUUCCUUUCUUUGUUAAUACAUAGUUAUACAAGCUUUGAUAUUAAAAUUUAAUACACCAAUGUUCGGUCAAACGAGACUCCGCUAUAGAUGUCUUUUGCCCAGUGAAUACAACACUCAAGCUGGGAAAAAAAUCAUGUGCUAGAAGUAUAAAAGUUGAGUGGAGAUUUUGUUAUUCAUCAUUAUUUUGCAUAGAAUAUUAGAAAUCACCACCUCCAUUCAGAUUCAGUGGUCUCUGUGGAGACAGAUAAAUGAUAUAUUACACCAAGAGGAAGCCAUUAACUGUAACAGUUUAGGUUUCAUUAUAAAGUAAAACAAUGUGCAGAUCACACCUUUUUUUGUUCCGACACAAUCACUCUCAAUGAAGGGCCUGACAAUCCCACCCUCAUCUAAAGGGCGAUCAAAGCUUCGCUCUGAGUGAGCUGCAUAUUGGUUCCUCAAUGUUGUUUUCAAUUUCGCCAGUAUGCAAAUUCCCCUCCACAUUUCCUUUGGAAAUAAUGAGGAAAAUAAGAACGCUCUAACCCCAGAUGAAAAGGAAAUGGCUUUUGAAAUGGCCGGCACUAUAUUAUGGUACCGCACUCCAAAUCAACCAGAAGACAAACCCUGUUGCAAAAUAUUGUCUAUAAACAUGAAAAAUAUACAGGAACAUACCUUUUACCUUCCACACAUUAUAAAUGUAUAAACAGCUUUAUCUCAGCUCAACAUCGAAUUAGGAUUUAACACGUGCAAACUGUUCAUUAUCCAAAAUGAAAUCUACUUGUUUGUAGUUGUGAACAAACUUGGGUAAUAAUUUUGAAAAAAGAAUUUAAGAAUAUUCAUGUUCAGAUGUACAAAUGAUUUAACUGAAAAUGUUUUAUGAAUACAGACAGCCGGAGAGUGAGCGUCACUCUCUCAUCUGCUGAAUGAAAAUAGGUCACCAGACAUUUAUUUGCUGUAUUGAAUCAGGCAAGACUGUAUUAAUUUAUCACCUCUUAAGUGGCAAAGCGUCUGUGGCAAAACAUCUGUUCAAGGAUAGCAUACCGAGCAUAUUGCAGCAGAUAAUGUCAGAAAGAAAAAAAAUCGGAUUCUGUCUAUUAAAACAGUUCACGUGACUGUAAAGAAAUACACACUGUUGCGUAUUAGACUUCCUUGUAAAAAAUAUAAAGUCUGUGCAUAUAAGUUAAUAAAUGUGUUUGCCGACAUUUAUUUUGCGACUGUUGAUUGCAAUACCACGUUUAGCUAAAAGUACCCUGGCUGAGUUUUAAAUGAUCAGAAAAUGUGUCUCUCCGUUUCUUCAUAAUAUGCUGUUUCUAAAGUUUGACAUCUAAACAAAUUCUCGUAAUGAAUCACUCAAAAUAUUCUCUAGUUUUCUAAAGAAUAAGGAUCACAGUGGCCGCAGAUGUUAUAAUUCUUCACUUGAGUGUCCAAAAAUAUAGAUUUGUAUUGCGAACCUGGAAGAGAGUAAAAACCUCAGGACAUGAGCUUCUGGAUUUAUUUGUAUUCCAUAAGAAUCUAUGAAGAUGCCCACUUAUUAACCUUCAGCAAACACUGAUGCUGAAAUAUACAACGCUCUAUGUGACCUUCAGACUACCAUAUGAUUGUAUCUGUGAACGUGCAUACAUAUACUUCUUUAUAUGUAUGCGCAUAUAUCCAUUACGUUUAGUUAACUUGGCAUGAGCCCAUUCACAGUGAGCCAAAAAUACUGGGAAAGUGUUUUCUGGUUCAUUUUAGAGCUUGACAGCUGUGUUUUAUGUUUAGGGUCAUUAGUAAGUGUGCAGCCAGAAGACUGCAUAUCUACAGUAAUCAAUUAUAGCAAUGCACAAAUACAUUUGAAAGGUUAUUGAAAGUGAAUACUAACUUCUAAGAGGGAAAAAACUAUGAUUGUAGUUUAAUUUGCCUGGAUGGGAUUGGCAGUAAAAAGCAUUAGAUCUGUAACAAUACGAAGUAUUGGCAUAUUCCAUUGAGCAAAAUGUAUAAAGAAGGGAAAGGUAAACAUUUUUAUGGGGGAGAAAAUUAAUAUUUUAUUGUAUGUGGCUCUUUUGCUUCGCCUGACACCGCUUCUGUUGAGUGAGAGCUUAGUUUAAAACCAUCUAAUACAAAUUAAUUUCAUUCUCUCGUAGUCACACCUGUCUUGCAAAGGCCCAUCUGCUGUCUUGAGAGACCUGUUUAAUUGUUUUGCUGAGCCUCUCCACAAAUACAAUGUGCUGGUUGAGGUGCCAAAAAGAAAAUCUGUGAUCACUUUAUUCAACCUUUCAACAAAACCCUGACAAGUUACUAGUAUAUUAGAUCAUACAGAGGAACUCAUGGACGCACAUUUGGAACUGUAGCGUUAACGCAGAUGGCGCUCGCUGUGAUACUGCAGUUCACGUCGUUAUCACGAAACAUGCAGCUCAUCAGGUAAUCUGCGCUUUUCUCCGCCCACAAUACCUCACGUUACACAGAGCACGUUGCGAGCAUUUAAAUGCGCAUUUGAAUGGACCCCCUUCUCUCUUUCUAUCAUGGAUCAGCCAAAGUGAAAAAAGCAAAAAACAAAAUUCAGGGUUUUUUGUUGGCAUCAGCGGUGGAAAAUAUAUGUAUUGACCAGCGCGCUGCAGCAAAGCGCGAAGUACUUGUAGCUGUGAUACGGCUGAGUGCAGACUGCGAUGUUCCCACUGUGACUGUUUGAAAUGAAUGACCUGAUGCCGAUAAUUGUAAUUGUAAGCGAGGAGUUUAACAACUGCCGAGUGGGAAUGAUGUCACAUUUCUUCCAGUAACAGUAAUACUGUGUGGCUGCUUAAUCUGUAACACGAAGUGAACUUGUGUUCACUCAACUGAAAACGUGUGAUCCUUGUGGCAAGUAUGUAUGUAUGUAUAUAUAUAUUAAAAAAAAGUAGAGGAGGGGGAAUCAAUACAUGCAAUAAUGUUUUUACAUUUAACACAAUGAGAUCACUUCACAGAUGUGAUUGUGGACUCAUAUCAAAUUUAAUUCUAAAGAAACGAGGGGGUCGAAUGUCAUUCUGUUCAUAUCGUAUGUAUGGAUACUCUUUGACGUCAUUUGAAGUUCCCCAAAUCAGACAAAAAAGUGAUCUUUGCAUGCUAGCACAUUUUGAAUGGGCACCUUUAAAGUGCCAAGUCUUCACGUGAAAUGUGUCAUGGAUUAAGUUCUUCCUCCAAACCCAGUUAGCAGCAUGUUUCCUCAGGUGCCCAAAGCUGUGAAGUUGUCCACAGAAGAGGUGAUAAGCAGUAUCUGUGCUGCAGCCAAACCAGCCUAAGCCUCACUGGAGCUGAAACUGAAAUGUGUACACCUUUCUCUACCUUCCAUCCCAC
ensembl:lncRNA